CAAAACCUUACUACCCAAAUGAAAAAACCCCUUUCUGAACCUAAAUCUCAGUCUUCAAUCUCCGCAACUCCAUCUCCACCGUCUUCCGCUAAUCAGCACCACCACCUAUCUCUGCAAAUCCAUCUUCACUGUCUAACUCUGAACUCAAAAGUCAAAAUUCUUCUGAAGAAAUUGUGCCCUAAAUUGAAGAAAUCGUCGCCACCGAUUGAAGAAACGAUCUGAUUUCUGAAGCAAAGAAAAUCCAAGGAUAAAUGGAGGAGUAUGAUGUAGCUGCAACUGGUGAGGGUUUUAGGCCGGAAAUUAAGGCACCAGCAGCAACCAUAGAAUCCAUCUUUCAAUCUCCUUCAUCCCCUAAAACUGCUGAGGAGGCAAAAAUUACAGUAAAGCUUAGGAUCUUACAGUAAACACGCCAGAUGGGAAGCCUCCACUUAGUAGGUGUUAACUAUUUCACAGAGAAAUCCAUGGGAGCAUGUACUGGGAGUGGGACUUGGAGCUGUAUUCGUAAAUCAGUUGGUCAAAUGGGAUGCUCAGCUUCAAGUUGAUCUUCACAAGAUGCUCGACGAAGCUAAGGCUGCAAAUGAACGUCGCUACUUUGAGAUGCUGAUAUUACAGUGGGAGAAGUUAUCAGUGGGAGAAGAUAAAGAGUUGAUGAAUAUCAUUCUUGCCUGUCAUGGAGAAAAUACAGGAGAUGAAAGGGAACCUGGUACGAAAUGUUGCUGUGUGGAAGACGUUGGAUUUGUUAAAUGACAAUGCUUUUAGCCAUUUAAUGGAGACAAGGAGGCGAGUCUUGAUUAAGCUUUUAAUUGAAUCUCCUGGUCCAAGGUCUCCCGGCAUAAAAGUUUCCAGGUACAAAGGUCUCCAGAACAGAGGUCUCCAGGUACAAAGGUCUCCAGAACAGAGGUCUCCAGGACAGAGGCUUCGGUCUCUGUGUCUGGUGGGCCGCUGCACCCUGUCAGGCCGAUUUGCCUGGUUGGCCGCUGCGUCCUGGCGGCCCGAUGUGCCUGGUGUGCCGUUGGCCGGGUUGGCCAAUGCGUCAGGUGGUUAGCUGGGAAAUAGAGCUGCAAUAUGUGAGCAGUUUUGUCCAGGACAGUGGACCUACUCGUGUGAGUUAAACAAGCAUCAGAGUGCAAUUUUGUACUUGGCUUCAUGGUUGUCUCCUGAAGAUUCACUGCGAAGAUAUUGCCAACUUUAGUGAAACUAUCUGCCUCGAAUGACCGACUAUUAGAGUUGGCCUUCUGCAACAUAUCGAUCAGUAUGGAGAGUCAUUAUCUUCUCAAGUUGUAGAUGAACAAGUUUAUUCUCACGUUGCCACUGGGUUUUCUGAUACACCUGUUAUUCUUCGGGAACUGGCACUAAAGUCAAUUCUCAGCUUGGCACCCUAGCUCUCUCUGCGAACUAUUGCGGGAUCUUUGCUGAAGUAUCUUUUGAAGUUUCAAGUGGAUGAAGAAGCGGCUGUUAGGACAAACACAAUUUUGUUUGGGAACAUUGCCAGCUAUCUUAAUGAUGGGAUAAGGAGGUGGGUCUUGAUUAAGCUUUGAUUGAAUCUCCUGGUCGAAGGUCUCUCGGCACAAAGGCCUCCAGGUACAAAGGUCUCCAGAACAGAGGUCUCCAGGUACAAAGGUCUCCAGAACAGUGGUCUCCAGGACAGAGGCUUCAGUCUCUGUGCCCUGGCGGGCCGCUGCUCCCUGGCGGGCCGACAUGCCUGUUGGGCCGGGUUGGCCGAUGCAUCAGGUGGUUAGCUGCGAAAUAGAGCUGCAAUAUGUGAGCAAUUUUGUCCAGGACAGUGGACCUACUCGUGCGAGUUAAACAAGCACCAGAGUUCAAGGAUAAUGAAGGGCAAGUGCUAGUAGCCAGCCGGGGGUAUUUCAGCCCCUGGUAAGUUCCUUUUUCCUUUUUUUUUUCCUAUAUUCUAUCUUUACAGUUUAAUUUGGAAAUUUGUGGAAAACAAAAAGUAACCUCUAUUUUACUUUGUGCGAGGGCAACAAAAGCAACAAUGAUCAAUUUCAAUUAAGGGCAAUCAAAACAAAUCAAGUAUAGAACCGCCAGUGAUGGAAGAAAUUCCUCAAAUGCAGAGAUAGACAUGACAAACAAGGGGAAUUAUAAGAGAAACAAGAAGAAGAGGGCAAAAUUAAUGAAAGAUAAGGCAAGGGGACAUACAUGACCAGCAGCCUAAGUUCUGUAUUGUAUGAUUGUAUCGAAGAUGAAAAUGAUAGUGAAGAUGAUGAAGAAGAUUGUGAUUAUGUAGAUGAAGUGGCCUCGAAAAGGCUACCAGAUUCUUGGGACCCUGAAGAAAUACAUAUGCUAAGGGAAGCCUUUCAUUAUCUUGUAAGAAGAAACCAUGGAAGGAAAUGUUGGAAUAUGGACAUGAUGUCUUCCAUGCUGGUCGUACCAAUGAGGAUCUAAGGUCAAAGUGGAAGUAUAUGGUGAAUCACGGCCAAUGGAAGGACGUUUUUUUGUUUUUUUCCUCAUUUAAAUGGAAUCUAAUCUAAACGACAGAAUUGGCACAACAAUCACCUUCUCAAAAUCCAUUGUCCUUGAAAUCACAUUGAGCAUCAGCAUCUAAAGGUUCAUUCUUAGCUAGCUAAUUGAGUUGAGGCAGCUGCUAAGAACUUCUUCGUGCAAUAGCUGACUCCAUUCGAAGUUGGGCUUCACAUAAUCUGCAUCUGAAGGUAUCUGGAAGUGUGGUGCUUAACAAUCUUCAAAUUCUGCAGUAGUACAUCUGUAACAUCUCACAGGCCAAAGACACAUAGGUUUGGUGCGCCCAGUAAAAGACCCACCCAAGCACAAUCCGCAUGACCAAAAAGAAGCCAACAAAAGGAAGACACAUGUCCAAAAUUUUGAAAUUCAAAAAUUGGCGGGAAAAUUCGUACAGGAGAGAUAGAUAGAUAGAAUAGAUGAAGCUCAUGGAAACUCUGAUUAUUUUGAAUCUUAGGGGUUGCUGCUGGAGAGGAAGGAACUUGGAAGCCAUGAUAUAGCAAACCCCCCCUUAGAUCUAGCUACUUUCAGAUUUUGAAAAAAGGCACUUCACCGAUCAAAAAAAAUGGCACUUAGUUCACAAUUGGGUGCUGAUGUUAACCAUUAAGCACAUGGUAGACCACCACUCAGUUUUAUCGAAUUGAUAGGUGCACUGCUCAGUUUCGGAAAUUGAGCGGUGCAAUGGCAGGCCACCACUUUGUUCCGCAGAAUGAGUGUGCACUGCUCAGUCCCGGGUACUGAGCGGUGCAAUGGCAGGUCACCGUCAGUUCCUAAAACUGAGAGGUCCAAAGCUAUGUGUCUAAUGGAGAACGUCACACUUAAUGGAACUGAGCAGCUUCCGGACAAAUGAAACUAUUGGAAAACAGGUAAAUGAGCUUCUCUUUUCCUCCUUUUCUUUUUUUUCUUUUUUUUUGUCGUUUUUCUUUCGUAUUUUAUUGAAAUCACUGUUGGAAGUCUGGUACACAGCAAGGCAGUGAUACUCCCCAUGUAGUUCAGCUACAGCUGCUGAAACAUAGCUAAGUCUGAUUCUUGGGUAACGUUUCAAUGAAAAUAGCCCUAUUUAGCUUUUGUUAUAUUGCUGACUUUGGUACUCUGCUAGUAUAUUUAGGUGCACAUUCUUAACACUCUCAAUGUAUACUUAAAUUGCCCUUAUAUUUCUAGAAUGCCUGAGUUUCUUUUUUGCUUGGUACAUGUCUAUCAUUUUUUUCAAGGUUUCUGCCCCUUCUUCCGAUGACUGUCAGGUCAGUACAUUUUUUCCUUAACAAAGAUAUUUGUUUCUAACUUGAGUGUUGCUUUUGUUUUUGUUUUUUGCAGGUCUUGCCUUUGCAUUCCUAACUCUAACUCUAUGUUUAUUAACACUUAUGAUCAUGUUUAUUAUGUUUUGCAUAAAAUUGUUUCUAACUUGAUCAUUGGAGUAUCUUUUUUUUUUUGCAGGUCUUGCCUUUGUAUUCCUAACUCUAACUCCAUGUUUAUUAACCCUAACUCUACUUUUAUUACGUUUUGAUAAAAUUGUUUCUAAUUUGAGUGUUGGAGUAUCUUUAUUGUUUAAUGCAGGUCUUGGUUUUGUAUUCCUAACUCUAACUCUACGUUUAUUAUGUUUUGCAUAAAAUUGUUUCUAACUUGAGCCUUGGAGUGUCUUUAUUGUUUUUUUGCAGGUCUUGGCUUUGUAUUCCUAACUCUAACUCUAUAUUUAUUACGUUUUGCAUAAAAUUGUUUCUAACUUGAGUGUUGGAGUAUCUUUAUUGUUUAAUGCAGGUUUUGGUUUUGUAUUCCUAACUCUAACUCUACGUUUAUUAUGUUUUGCAUAAAAUUGUUUCUAACUUGAGUGUUGGAGUAUCUUUAUUGUUUUUUGCAGGUCUUGGCUUUGUAUUCCUAACUCUAACUCUAUGUUUAUUAUGUUUUGCAUAAAAUUGUUUCUAACUUGAGCCUUGGAGUAUCUUUAUUGUUUUUUGCAGGUCUUGGCUUUGUAUUCCUAACUCUAACUCUAUGUUUAUUAACCCUUAACUCUACGUUUAUUAUGUUUUGCAUAAAACUGUUUCUAACUUGAGCGUCGGAGUAUCUUCCUUGUUUUUUUGCAGGUCUUGCCUUUGUAUUCCUGUGGCCAAUUCAAUUAGUAGAGUUGUUGAAAUGGAAUGCUGGUACCUUGCGGGGAACGUCAUCUGUUUGGCUUUUGAUCAGUUUGCCUCUAGGGUAUGUCUGACUUUAAAGGAUACAAAUGAAGACAGAUCAGUCCUGUGAAUCAUGUACUAAUGAGAUCCUCCUCUUCCCUGAAGGAGGCUGCAUUUUAACUCAAAAGGUGUUAUAACUUAUUAAGCUAUAUCUUCCUCUGGAAUGACCUGCUUUUGUAAUCCUUCUCCUCCCCGGGUAUAUAAUGCACAUUUUAUUCUCCUUGGCUCACAAAGAGUAGUGAAGGUGUCUGGUAGUGGAAUGGGUCUGAACUAUUUGGUUUAUUGAUCGCCAGUCGGGGGUUCCUGGUGAAUUUUUUGAAUUGGAAUUGUUGUUUGUUAUGGUAUAUCCAGUUCUUAGUGCACACAAGUGAUUCCCUGGUGUAAAACAGAGACACCAGUACAUAAAACAGAGUAGAGAAUGCAAUUUGCGCAAAAGUAAUUCGAAGUUUGUUUUUGAAUAAACUGCUGACAACAAUCACCUUCUCAAAAUCCAUCGUCCUUGAAGCAUCAGCAACUAAAGGUUCAUUCUUAGCUAGCUAAUUGAGUUGAGGCAGCUGCUAAGAACUUCUUCGCGCAAUAGCUGACUCCAUUCGAAGUUGCGCUUCACAUAAUCUGCAUCUGAAGGUAUCUGGAAGUGUGGUGCUUAACAAUCUUCAAAUUCUGCAGUAGUACAUCUGUAACAUCUCACAGGCCAAAGACACAUAGGUUUGGUGCGCCCAGUAAAAGACCCACCCAAGGAGAGAUAGAUAGAUAGAAUAGAUGAAGCUCAUGGAAACUCUGAUUAUUUUGAGUCUGAGGGGUUGCUGCUGGAGAGGAAGGAACUUGGAAGCCAUGAUAUAGCAAACCCCCCCUUAGAUCUAGCUACUUUCAGAUUUUGAAAAAAGGCACUUCACCUAUCAAAAAAAAAAUGGCACUUAGUUCACAAUUGGGUGCUGAUGUUAACCAUUAAGCACAUGGUAGACCACCACUCAGUUUUAUCGAAUUAAUAGGUGCACUGCUCAGUUUCGGAAACUGAACGGUGCAACGGCAGGCCACCAUUUCGUUCCGUAGAAUGAGUGUGCACUGCUCAGUCCCGGGUACUGAGCGGUGCAAUGGCAGGUCACCGUCAGUUCCUAAAACUGAGAGGUGCAAAGCUAUGUGUCUAAUGGAGAACGUCACACUUAAUGGAAGUGAGCAGCUUCCGGACAAAUGAAACUAUUGGAAAACAGGUAAGUGAGCUUCUCUUUUCCUCCUUUUUUUUGUUUUUGUUUUUUUUAUUUGUCGUUUUUCUUUCGUAUUUUAUUGAAAUCACUGUUGGAAGUCUGGUACACAGCAAGGCAGUGAUACUCCCCAUGUAGUUCAGCUACAGCUGCUGAAACAUAGCUAAGUCUGAUUCUUGGGUAACGUUUCAACGUAAAUAGCCAUGUUUAGCUUUUGUUAUAUUGCUGACUUUGGUACUCUGCUAGUAUAUUUAGGUGCACAUUCUUAACACUCUCAAUGUAUACUUAAAUUGCCCUUAUAUUUGUAGAAUCCUUGAGUUUCUUUUUUGCUUGGUACAUGUCUAUCAUUUUUGUUCAAGGUUUCUGCCCCUUCUUCUGAUGAGUGUCAGGUCGGUACAUUUUUGCCUUAACAAAGAUAUUUGUUACUAACUUGUGUGUUGCUUUUGUUUUUUGCAGGUCUUGCCUUUGCAUUCCUAACUCUAACUCUAUGUUUAUUAACACUUACAAUCAUGUUUAUUAUGUUUUGCAUAAAAUUGUUUCUAACUUGAUCAUUGGAGUAUCUGUUUUUUUUUUUGCAGGUCUCGCCUUUGUAUUCCUAACUCUAACUCCAUGUUUAUUAACCCUAACUCUACUUUUAUUAUGUUUUGCAUAAAAUUGUUUCUACCUUGAGCGUUGGAGUAUCU